rnacentral:lncRNA from 1 species
CCUGCAUAUGCAUGUGACAGUAGAGAGUUGUUGCUGGUUCGCCUGGGGCGUAAAACCCACCUCCCGACAGCUGUCUAGCAUUUACAUUAUCGAUAUGGUGUCUUAUCCUGCAUAUGCAUAUGACAGUAGGGAGUUGUUGCUGGUUCGCCUGGGGCGUAAAACCCACCUCCCGAUAGCUGUCUUGUUGAUGAUUCAGCCUAUUGACACCUGAUUUAUAUGAUUCAGUACUAUGACCUGUUGAGCAUAUUCA